rfam:Brachypodium distachyon strain Bd21 chromosome 1, whole genome shotgun sequence.
GAGGUACUCCCUCCUUCCAUCAAAGGAUGUCUCAACUUUAACUAAAUUCGAAUGCAUCUAUACACUAAGUUAUGUCUAGAUACAUUCAAAUUUGACAAGCUUGAGACAUCUUUUGUUGGACGGAGUGAGUAAUAA